GAGAGGGUAUACCAGCUGGACGUCCSCCCSCSCUUAAGUGAUCACUAAUCUCAAACUAGGACCGAGUCUUGCUUGCGACCGCCGUACGGAUUGUGUACGUUCAGCUUGCUCUGGAAGCCCAGAUCACCGCGUGCCCACGCAUUGCGCACCCUUAGACGGGAACCCAAGCCUUAUUGAGCGGCUUUCCACYGAUUAUGGCCUACUACAGCUUUCUGGUUUCUAAAUAGCGGGUUCCUACUCGGGCGCAUCCUAAUCGAUCAACCACUCCAUUUCCGAGUGGUUCCGCUGCUAGGAAUCGACCAGACUCUCCUACUAGUCGGUGUGACCCUGACUCUGUGCCGGGUCUGAGGAUGCCCUCCGUCGUCACCCCUUAUAACGUGUUACCCGCCUUCGGACUACGUCGCUGCGGCGCACUCCCUACUGCCGGAAGCCCAACAUUUGGAGAAAGCUGUCCCUGCUUCGCGUUCACUGCCAUGGACAUCUUCUUCGUGGCCGGUUGAUGCACGGUCGUCGGCGCCAUUAUGCAUCCCACGCUCGCAACAGGCCUUAAUGACCCGCAUUUCUCGAACAUCCGCCAAACAGCGCAGAAGACACUUUUGAGUGUCGAGUUGACACUCGAACGUCCCCUAUGCCCGUCUGAUCUCAUGAAGUCCCCUCUGACCUUAAGGACCACAUCGCCACUUUACGCGUCUAUAGUCCUCCUUGUGGCCACCGCUUCCGCCCAGAGACCCUUCAUUGACUGCGACUCUUCGCUUUCGCACCCAUCGCUUGUCCUAAUCUAUGGGACCAUCAGUUAGCUUA
rnacentral:rRNA from 1 species